UAUAAAUAGAGGGGUGGGGGUGCCCUAGGGUUUACACCUUUUUGGCGAAACACACUUGCCGUGCGUCCCACGCCCUCGCCUGUUGCAACUUGCGGAUCUAGCAAUCCGGCUUGCGACGCUUCCUCCCUGCACGUGUGGAUACCUUGGAGGUGUUGCGCCUGCAGCACUUGGACGAGCCAUCGACGAGCCGCCGACGAGCCACGACGAGCCGACGACGAGCCACGGCACCGGAGGCGAUCUUGCUGCACGUGGAUGAGCUGCUGAGGAGCUGCUGGACGUGAUCG
rnacentral:lncRNA from 1 species